rnacentral:rRNA from 1 species
AAGCUGCGACAAGUAGGAGGGCGGCUGCGGUGCACACAGAAGCACAGGGCGAGUGCCUGGUGGAGCCGCUGCAGGUGCAGAUCUUGGCGGUAGUUUUAAAUAUUAAAACAAGAACUUUCAAGGCCGAAUUGGAGAAGGGUUUGUGAACAGCAGUUGAACAUGGGUCAGUCAGUCCUAAGAAAUGGUUGAGUGCUGUACGGAAGGGACGGGCGAUGGACUCCUUUUCCCUCAGUCAAUUGGAAGGGAGUCGGAUUCAGAUCUGUGAACACGGAGUGGCGGAGACGGGCGCCCUCACGGCAUCCAGUGCGAUAACGCAAACAAUCCCAGAGAAGCCUUCGGGAUCCCCAUGGAGAGUUAUUUUUCUUUGUGAAGGGCUGGGCACCCUGGGAUGGGUUUGCCCCGGAGAGGGGCCCGAGCCUUGGAAAGCGUUGAAGUUCCGGCAGAGUCUGGUGAUUUCUCGCUGGUCCUUGAAAAUCCGGGGAGAUGGUAUAAAUCUCGCACCAGGCCGUACCCAUAUCCGCAGCAGUUCUCCAAGGUGAAAAGCCUCUGGCAUGUUGGAACAAUGUAGGUAAGGGAAGUUGGCAAGUCGUAUCUGUAACUUCGGGAAGGACUGGGUCGGUCGGGCUGGGGUACGAAGUAGGGCUGGUCGUGCGCUGCGCUGACAAGGUGUCUCCUCCCCGUGGGUGGCGCCGACUCUGGAUGUGAGCCAGGCCCUUCCUGUGGAUUGCCGCAGUGUUAUACGAAGCGUUAUGAGAUCGCUGGUUACCUUUUCUUCCCGGAGAUCGUGGAGUUGAGGUUGCCAGUCUGUCAAAGUAUCAAUGCCGACGAAAUAGCAACGCGAGGAAUCGACCCAACACCCUCUUGACAGUGAACGACAGGAUGGCACUGAAUCAACUCCCAACGCCACGGGUGGCACUUCUCUGUAUUAACGUUACAUCGGGACAGUGUUUCCACUGACAGAGAAGGCUGAAUGAAGUCCUCCGCAACACCAGUAGAUCGAUGGGCUGUUCUUCAGAACUUCCAGGAUGGCAGAUAAGGCACAGGUACCAGCAGGGCACAAGACUGGUAAAAGGGUGGGAAGGACAGGCCAACAAAAGGAAAGGACAGACAGGGGAACCCUUCCCAGAACAAGAAUCCUAACAGGAAAUUAAACUAGGCAGUGAACCCAGGCUGAACCCUCCCUGUACCCAGAACCAGGAGAUAGGCAUGCAAAGACAAGGCAGGACAGGGGACCAGGGACAGGAACCACCAAGGGCAGGUAAGGAGUAGUUGAGGCCAAGCAAGGCAGAGAAACAGGCAGGACUGAAGGCACAGCUAAGCAGGACUCGAGCAGCGCAUACACGGAACAACCGCGUUGAGACGCGUUGUUUGCGUGUAUGCAGGGCUUUUUUAUAGCCCGACACCAAAGCGAGGCCUGGACGCAUGUCCUGUUACUGCGCAUGCGCCAAAACGUCGGAUGCUGACGAUCCGCGCAUGUGCAGAACAGGCAAGAUGGCUGCGCCCAUGGAGCCGACCCGGAUCGCGGGGCGUCGAGGGGAAGGACGCCAACGUGGAUAGAGUCUCCAAGAAGGAAACCGCCGCAGCCGAGGACCCGGCCCCCAAAACAGGUAAGUGGAGUGCGCGUGUGGUGUGACACCCAGCUACGGUUAUCACCUCUUGCCAUUCCCCUCCCGGGGUUCGGGGCCAGCGUUCUGCCUCGGCCGACGCCUUGCAGCUGACUUAGAACUGGUGCGGGAAUCCUGUUAAUAUUAAUUGUUGAAUUAAAACAAAGCAUUGUGUAAGGCCUAUGGUGGGUGUUGACACGAUUUCUGCCCAGUGCUCUGAAUGGCAAAUUGAAGAAAUGCAAUGAAGUGCGGGUAAACGGCGAGAGUAACUAUGACUCUCUUAAGGUAGCCAAAUGCAUCAUCAUCUAAUUAGUGACUUGCAUGAAUGGAUGAACGAGAUUCCUACUGUCCCUACCUACUAUCUAGUGAAACCACAACCAAGGGAACGGGCUUGGCAGAACCAGCGGGCACAGAAGACCUUGUUGAGAUUCACUAUAGACAUGAGAGGUGUAGGAUAAGUAGGAGGCCCUCGGGCCGCCGGUGAAAUACCACUACUUAUUGUUUUUUCACUUACCCGGUGAGGGAGCCCUGUGGGACUCUCGCUUACCACUACUUAUUGUUUUUUCACUUACCCGGUGAGGGAGCCCUGUGGGACUCUCGCUUCUGGCUCUAAGCGCCCGCCCGGCGCCACCCGCUCAGGGGACAGUGGUAGCUAGGGAGUUUGACUGGGGCAGUACACAUGGCAAACCAUAACCCAGGUGUCCUAAGGCGAGCUCAGGGAGGACAGAAAUCUCCCACGGAGCAGAAGGGCAAAAGCUUGCUUCAACUCGAUUUUUAUUAUGAAUACAGACAGUGAAAGCGGGGCCUCGGGAUCCUACUGACAUUUUGGGUUUCAGCAGGAGGUGUCAGAGGGAUAACUGGCUUGUGGUGGCCAAGCAUUCAUAGCAACAUCGCUUUUUGAUCCUUCAAUGUCGGCUCUUCCUACCAUUGGGAAGCAGAAUUUACCAAGCGUUGGCUUGUUCACCCACUAAUAGGGGACAUGAGCUGGGUCUGUUUAAUUCGUGAGACAGGUUAGUUUUACCCUACUGAUGAUGUGUUGUUGCAAUAGUAAUCCUGCUCAGAACGAGAGGAACCGCAGAUUCAGACAAUUGGUGUAUGUGCUUGGCUGAGGAGACAAUGGGGCGAAGCUACCAUCUAUGGGAUUAUGACUGAAUGCCCCGAAGUCAGAAUCCCCCCAACCGUAACGGUACUGCAGCGCUGUGGAGCCUCGGUUGGCCUAGGAUAGCGAACCUCUGGGCUAGUGCGUAGAGCUUGCGUGUGAACAGAAGGGGGCCACUUCUUUCACCCGUAGUGCACUGUGU